rnacentral:tRNA from 1 species
GAGGGUGUAGCUCAGGGGGAGAGCGUGUGCCUGGCAGGCACGAGGUCCUGGGUUCAACCCCCAGUCCCUCCG